AUUGAACGCUGGCGGCAGGCUUAACACAUGCAAGUCGAACGAGUGGCGGACGUGAGGGUAAUGAAUGGGACUCUGGCUUAGGGAGGGGGAUAAGGAAGGGAAACUGUCACUAAUAACGCGUAGCAUAGGCUGGGCCCGAGUGGGAUUAGGUAGUUGGUGGGGUAAUGGCCUACCAAGACGACGAUCUCUAGCUGGUCUGAGAGGAUGCCCAGCCACACCGGGACUGAGACACGGUCCGGACUCCUACGGGAGGCAGCAGUGGGGAAUAUUGCGCAAUGGGGGCAACCUGACGCAGCCAUGCCGCGUGAAUGAAGAAGGCCUUCGGGUUGUAAAGCUCUUUCGGUGACGAGGCGUUAAUCACAGAAGAAGCACCGGCUAACUCCGUGCCAGCAGCCGCGGUAAUAC
rnacentral:rRNA from 1 species